AACGAACGCUGGCGGCAGGCUUAACACAUGCAAGUCGAACGGGUGUAGCAAUACAUCAGUGGCAGACGGGUGAGUAACACGUGGGAACCUUCCUAGGGGUACGGAACAACUCAGGGAAACUUGAGCUAAUACCGUAUACGUCCGUGAGGAGAAAGAUUUAUCGCCCUUAGACGGGCCCGCGUCGGAUUAGCUAGUUGGUGGGGUAACGGCCUACCAAGGCGACGAUCCGUAGCUGAUCUUAGAGGAUGAUCAGCCACACUGGGACUGAGACACGGCCCAGACUCCUACUGGAGGCAGCAGUGGGGAAUCUUGGACAAUGGGCGCAAGCCUGAUCCAGCCAUGCCGCGUGAGUGAAGAAGGUCUUCGGAUUGUAAAGCUCUUUUGCCAGGGACGAUAAUGACGGUACCUGGAGAAUAAGCCCCGGCAAACUUCGUGCCAGCAGCCGCGGUAACAC
rnacentral:rRNA from 1 species